CCUACGGGAGGCUGCAGUGGGGAAUAUUGCACAAUGGGGGCAACCCUGAUGCAGCGACGCCGCGUGAGUGAAGAAGUAAUUCGUUACGUAAAGCUCUAUCAGCCGGGAAGAAACACUGACCUUACGGUCAGCCGACGGUACCUGCGUAAGAAGCCCCGGCUAACUACGUGCCUGCAGCCGCGGUAAUACGUAGGGGGGAAGCGUGAUCCGGAUUUACUGGGGGUAAAGGGAUGGUAGACGGGGCGCCGAGUCUGGAGUGAAAUGCCGCAGGUUAACUGCGGGACUGCUUUGGACACUGGCGAACUAGAGUGCGUGAGGGGUAAGCGGAAUUCCUAGUGUAGCGGUGAAAUGCGUAGAUAUUAGGAGGAACACCGGUGGCGAAGGCGGCUUACUGGACCGUAACUGACGUUGAGGCACGAAAGCGUGGGGAGCGAACAGGAUUAGAUACCCCUGUAGUC
rnacentral:rRNA from 1 species